rnacentral:rRNA from 1 species
GACGAACGCUGGCGGCGUGCUUAACACAUGCAAGUCGAACGGUAAGGCUCCAGCUUGCUGGGGUACACGAGUGGCGAACGGGUGAGUAACACGUGGGUGACCCGCCCUGCACUUCGGGAUAAGCCUGGGAAACUGGGUCUAAUACCGGAUAGGACCAUGGUGUGGAUACUGUGGUGGAAAGUUUUUUCGGUGUGGGAUGGGCCCGCGGCCUAUCAGCUUGUUGGUGGGGUAAUGGCCUACCAAGGCGGCGACGGGUAGCCGGCCUGAGAGGGUGGACGGCCACAUUGGGACUGAGACACGGCCCAGACUCCUACGGGAGGCAGCAGUGGGGAAUAUUGCACAAUGGGCGGAAGCCUGAUGCAGCGACGCCGCGUGGGGGAUGACGGCCUUCGGGUUGUAAACUCCUUUCACCAUCGACGAAGGGUUUCUGACGGUAGAUGGAGAAGAAGCACCGGCUAACUACGUG